UACGUAGGGGCAAGCGUUGUCCGGAUUAUUGGGCGUAAGCGCGUGUAGGUGGCCAUGUAGGUCCGCUGUGAAACUCGAGGCUCAACCUCGAGCUGUCGGUGGAAACCACAUGGCUAGAGUCCGGAAGAGGAGAGUGGAAUUCCUGGUGUAGCGGUGAAAUGCGCAGAUAUCAGGAAGAACACCAAUGGCGAAGGCAGCUCUCUGGGACGGUACUGACACUGAGACGCGAAAGCGUGGGAGCGAACAGG
rnacentral:rRNA from 1 species